rnacentral:rRNA from 1 species
ACAGCAGCCGCCGCGGUAAUACAGAGGGUGCGAGCGUUAAUCGGAUUUACUGGGCGUAAAGCGUGCGUAGGCGGCUUCUUAAGUCGGAUGUGAAAUCCCUGAGCUUAACUUAGGAAUUGCAUUCGAUACUGGGUCACUAGAGUGUGGUAGAGGAUGGUAGAAUUCCAGGUGUAGCGGUGAAAUGCGUAGAGAUCUGGAGGAAUACCGAUGGCGAAGGCAGCCAUCUGGCCUAAUACUGACGCUGAGGUACGAAAGCAUGGGGAGCAAACAGGAUUAGAUACCCGGGUAGUCCCUGUCUCUUAUAC